ACCUGGAAAGCCAGCAGCUCCUGGCGAAGGUCAUCUCCACACUUGACAAUGACUGAAAGGAGUCGCCAAUUGGGAAGAUGGCCAUACGGGGAACCUUCUCUGAUCCUCCUGUGAAGAAAGCAUUCACAGGAUGAUGCCAGGUAGCUCAAGCAAUGUCUCAGCUCCACCAUCAGGGCCUCAAGGACAGAACAAGGACAGAAUAAGAUAAAGGAGAGAGACACAAGGCUGGCAGCUGGUGACAAACACAGGACAAAGAGAGGCAGAGUGAAGAAGAUGAAGGAUGAUGUGAUCGGGCCAUACCUGAUGUCCCCUGCCGCAAUGAACACAGGCUCCUUGCUCUCCUGGCUGGUGAUGCUGUCCACCGAGAACUGAGAGAUGUUGUCACAGCUGUUGGUGUGCACUUCUGGGAGCUGGGGAGAGCAGAUCAGAAGUGCUAAACAUGGAUCUUCCUCUUGCCCCUGCUCACUUGCCACUACCUACCUGUGGCAUGGUGGCCUACCACUCCCAUCCAGCCUUCUCCCAAGCCACCAUGGUUCCACAUCACUAUGGCCUUCAGUCAUGGAUCCCAUGGCAGCAAUCUCAAAGUGUGAACUAGUCCAAGAGAAUUCAUGGAAUUGCAUAAAAUGCAGAUUCUCAGUUCUCACCAUCAGCCCAAAUUAGAACUACUGGGAAUGAAAUCUAGAAGCUGAAUUUUUGUAAACUUUCUAGAAUAAUCCCAACACUCUCUAAGAACAGUCUCAAAUCCUGCUUUCCCAGCUUCCACACCACACCCAGAUGUAUUUCUUCAGGCAAAAUCUCCACUCUAAUCUCCUCACUUUGAAUUAUAAAAUAUUCUUCUGGGCCCCAAGAAGUCUCUGUUCUUCCUUUUACAAAGUGCUCUCAAUUCCACCUGCCAUCUAAUACCCAGUGACGCGUGUCUUCAUUUUUCUUCUUUUUUUUUAUUUUCUUUUUUCUUUUUUUCGGAGCUGGGGACCGAACCCAGGGCCUUGCGCUUACUAGGCAAGCGCUCUACCACUGAGCUAACUCCCCAACCCCUUCAUUUUUCUUCUUAAGUGUCUUCGUGUAACCUCGACUGGACUGUAAGAAAGACAGAGAUCUGUCUUUUUCACCAAAUGCUACCACAGAAAAUCCUGCCCCGCUUUUCUUCCGACUGCCUCAUAAUAAAGCUGGAGUUUCUUCCCAUGGCUGACAGAG